CACCAGGAGCAACACCUUACAGUACGCAAGCAAAGCGCUAGGUCUGGUCCCUGAUACUUUUGUUUCAACAGGCAGUCUAUGGAGAAGCAUGGAAGAUAGUAUGGUCCGUCCAGCAAUGUCAACUUGGCUGCUAUGCAUGGCCCCUAGGAAGCGAUGAAUGUGUAACAAGAUCCACCAAGAGCUGAAUGAAGAAAUGAAAACGGAACCUUGACAUCAGUUGAAACUGCAGCCUACACAUAUGAGAACAGCUCCAGAGCAGGAAAGCCACAGCUCUCAUCUUCUGGUUCAACGUGCUGUGGAGCCCUGUGCCUACGUGUGUGCACAUUUGUUUCAGUCAGACCCUGCCUGAAGAAGAUUACAGCAGCAAAAGCCCAGACAAAGACAAGAAAUAAGAGGCAUCUGCUUAUGGCCCCUGUUGGCUGAGGUGAGGAAAAGCUGCUGCUUCUUGGUUGUUUUUUGGUAGGUUGUUUUCUUGUGGGUUCUGUUUGCUUGUUUCCAGGAUGACACAUUUAUUAAUGACAACAAAAGA
rnacentral:lncRNA from 1 species